AUUGAACGCUGGCGGAAUGCUUUACACAUGCAAGUCGAACGGUAGAGGGGGCAACCCCUCGAGAGUGGCGAACGGGUGAGUAAUAUAUCGGAACGUGCCCAGUCGUGGGGGAUAACGUAGCGAAAGUUACGCUAACACCGCAUACGAUCUAAGGAUGAAAGCGGGGGAUCGCAAGACCUCGCGCGGUCGGAGCGGCCGAUAUCAGAUUAGGUAGUUGGUGGGGUAAAGGCUCACCAAGCCAACGAUCUGUAGCUGGUCUGAGAGGACGACCAGCCAAACUGGAACUGAGACACGGUCCAGACUCCUACGGGAGGCAGCAGUGGGGAAUUUUGGACAAUGGACGCAAUUCUGAUUCAGCCAUUCCGCGUGCAGGAUGAAGGCCCUCGGGUUGUAAACUGCUUUUGUACGGAACGAAAAGGUCUCUCUUAAUACGGGGGGCUCAUGACGGUACCGUAAGAAUAAGCACCGGCUAACUACGUGCCAGCCGCCGCCGUAA
rnacentral:rRNA from 1 species